UCCGCAUUGGUGUAAUGGUAACAUAGCCGGUUUUCAGUGAAAACCAUCAUACCCGGCGUAAGUCGAUUCAAGUAUGAUAUCUACUAUACACAAAUUCUAACCCCUUGCAGAGCCCGGGGUUCAAUUCCCCGAUGCGGAA